rnacentral:rRNA from 1 species
AGCUCCAAUAGCGUAUACUAAAGUUGUUGCAGUUAAAACGCUCGUAGUCGGAUUUCGGGGCGGGCCGACCGGUCUGCCGAUGGGUAUGCACUGGCCGGCGCGUCCUUCCUUCCGGAGACUGCGCCUACUCUUAGCUGAGCGGGCGUGGGAGACGGAUCGUUUACUUUGAAAAAAUCAGAGUGUUUCAAGCAGGCAGCUCGCUCUUGCAUGGAUUAGCAUGGGAUAAUGAAAUAGGACUCUGGUGCUAUUUUGUUGGUUUCGAACACCGGAGUAAUGAUUAACAGGGACAGUCAGGGGCACUCGUAUUCCGUCGAGAGAGGUGAAAUUCUCAGACCAACGGAAGACGAACCACUGCGAAAGCAUUUGCCAGGGAUGUUUUCACUGAUCAAGAACGAAAGUA